UACGUAGGGUGCAAGCGUUGUCCGGAAUUAUUGGGCGUAAAGAGCUCGUAGGCGGUUUGUCGCGUCUGCUGUGAAAACCUAAGGCUCAACCUUGGGCUUGCAGUGGGUACGGGCAGACUAGAGUGCGGUAGGGGUGACUGGAAUUCCUGGUGUAGCGGUGGAAUGCGCAGAUAUCAGGAGGAACACCGAUGGCGAAGGCAGGUCACUGGGCCGCAACUGACGCUGGAGGGAGCG
rnacentral:rRNA from 1 species